UGAUCCUGGCUCAGAACGAACGCUGGCGGCGUGGAUAAGACAUGCAAGUCGAACGAGAGAAUUGCUAGCUUGCUAAUAAUUCUCUAGUGGCGCACGGGUGAGUAACACGUGAGUAACCUGCCCCCGAGAGCGGGAUAGCCCUGGGAAACUGGGAUUAAUACCGCAUAGUAUCGAAAGAUUAAAGCAGCAAUGCGCUUGGGGAUGGGCUCGCGGCCUAUUAGUUAGUUGGUGAGGUAACGGCUCACCAAGGCGAUGACGGGUAGCCGGUCUGAGAGGAUGUCCGGCCACACUGGAACUGAGACACGGUCCAGACACCUACGGGUGGCAGCAGUCGAGAAUCAUUCACAAUGGGGGAAACCCUGAUGGCGCGACGCCGCGUGGGGGAAUGAAGGUCUUCGGAUUGUAAACCCCUGUCAUGUGGGAGCAAAUUAAAAAGAUAGUACCACAAGAGGAAGAGACGGCUAACUCUGUGCCAGCAGCCGCGGUAAUACAGAGGUCUCAAGCGUUGUUCGGAAUCACUGGGCGUAAAGCGUGCGUAGGCUGUUUCGUAAGUCGUGUGUGAAAGGCGCGGGCUCAACCCGCGGACGGCACAUGAUACUGCGAGACUAGAGUAAUGGAGGGGGAACCGGAAUUCUCGGUGUAGCAGUGAAAUGCGUAGAUAUCGAGAGGAACACUCGUGGCGAAGGCGGGUUCCUGGACAUUAACUGACGCUGAGGCACGAAGGCCAGGGGAGCGAAAGGGAUUAGAUACCCCUGUAGUCCUGGCAGUAAACGGUGCACGCUUGGUGUGCGGGGAAUCGACCCCCUGCGUGCCGGAGCUAACGCGUUAAGCGUGCCGCCUGGGGAGUACGGUCGCAAGAUUAAAACUCAAAGAAAUUGACGGGGACCCGCACAAGCGGUGGAGUAUGUGGCUUAAUUCGAUGCAACGCGAAGAACCUUACCUGGGCUUGACAUGUAAUGAACAACAUGUGAAAGCAAGCGACUCUUCGGAGGCGUUACACAGGUGCUGCAUGGCCGUCGUCAGCUCGUGUCGUGAGAUGUUUGGUUAAGUCCAGCAACGAGCGCAACCCCUGUUGCCAGUUACCAGCACGUGAAGGUGGGGACUCUGGCGAGACUGCCCAGAUCAACUGGGAGGAAGGUGGGGACGACGUCAGGUCAGUAUGGCCCUUAUGCCCAGGGCUGCACACGUACUACAAUGCCCAGUACAGAGGGGGCCGAAGCCGCGAGGCGGAGGAAAUCCUAAAAACUGGGCCCAGUUCGGACUGUAGGCUGCAACCCGCCUACACGAAGCCGGAAUCGCUAGUAAUGGCGCAUCAGCUACGGCGCCGUGAAUACGUUCCCGGGUCUUGCACUCACCGCCCGUCA
rnacentral:rRNA from 1 species